GCUGGUCAUUUUUCCUGCUUGAGAUGCAUUUCUUCAAUAUAAUCAUGAUGAACUAUUCACUAGAGCUUCAUAUAGUUCUGUUGCUUACAUCCAUCAAUAAAGCGAAACUUUCAAGACCGUUUAGUUGGAUGACUGGUUUUUGAAAAUAAGGUCUAAAAGUCUAUGAUUCUCGGCUGGUGCAAUGAUUUAGAAGCAAUGUCAAAAAUGCUUUCUCA